UGAAUGAAAAACUUUUGAUAACUAAAAAAUAAUUCAUAUUUUUGAAACAAAACUUUAGUAAAUAUAAUCACAAAUUCAGUCGUUGAUUUAGACUUCCACUAAAAAAUAUGUGGCACCUUAUUAGUGAAGAAGACCCUUUUCCGCUUGUUCUGAGUCUUUGGGUGAACCCAUGAAUUACAAUCAAGAUUAACGGGUCCAGCAGGAAACCCAUCAAUGGUUAUAUUCUUGAUGAACAUCUCCUUGUGGUGCUCAUUUUCGACGUAAAUGGCACCCACUUGCCCAAAACCAGCUGGAACGUCCAACUCUGCUUCGUACCGGAUUUCGGCUUCAUGUUCGUCUUUUCGGUGAGCGAAUCCUUUAAUCAUCGGCUUCUCCAAUCCCGUCUGGGAAUCUAGCUGGGCACUAACAAGCUCCAGGAGGAGAGUUUUGCCAAGCAAGUCAGUAAUAUCAUCUAGUCCUUGCUGAAUCCCAAUGUUGGAAAGUAACCCACCAACAGUUCGGCUCACAGUAACUAUAGCCUGCACUUUGAUAGACUUCUGUUGCUCUGUAAUGCUUGCUAUGGCUUUGAUAUUUCCAGGUUUAUAGCCAACUGAUCGGAUUUUUCUCAGAGUUUUAGUAGAGGAGGACUUGGAAAUGACAGGAAGAUGGGCUUGGCCAUUUCCAAGGAUGAAUGGGUUGGGCAACAGGAAGAGGGUUCUUGAGGAAUGAGAGUGGUGAAUCUGUGGUUUCAACAUUGAUUGUUUUGGGGUUGAAGGAGCAGAUAUAUUCUGGCGGUAAUUAGUGAAGAAGCUAAGACUUGCUGGAUGAGAGUUAUGGUUAUGGUGGUAUAUGUAGGCAUAGGACUUAGGGAAGGGGGAGAGAAAGA
rnacentral:misc_RNA from 1 species